rnacentral:rRNA from 1 species
GGGUUGAGUAACGCGUUUGGUGACCUGCCCCGANGUUCUGGGAUAACCCUGNAAAAGUUGGGGCUAAUCCCGGAUGUGGUCAUCGGANUUUAGAANCCGAUGUCUAAAGGAUUUUUUUCGCUUCGGGAGGGGCCUGCGUCCNAUCAGCUAGUUGGUAGGGUANUGGCCUACCAAGGCNACGACGGGUUAGGGGACCUCANAGGNUGGCCCCCACANUGGAACUGAAACCCGGUCCAUACACCUACGGGUGGCAGCANUAGGGAAUAUUGCACAUUGGCCNAAAGNCUUGAUGCANCA